UAUAAAGGUGAGGACAGUGAUUUUUAAGUUGUCACAAGACUUCUGAUUUACUGUCUGCCGAUGCAUGUGUUGUACAACCCAUGCACGUGAAAUCUGGUUGUGAAACCAAAGAUAAAGGACUGUUUAUACAACUACCCUCAUAUACCCCCCAUGCAAUGGCGUUUCUUUGUUGACUCUGGAGUUGUAAAUAUUCACGUGAUCCAGAGAUAAAGGGGUAAUAAAACAAUGUUCCACAAACCGCGUUGAUACACACGUGAAAAUUUCAGGUGCACAGGUGAAUUUCAAGAAAUGACUGAUGAACCAAGUCAAACUCAUUAGGAAAGAAGACUUUUAGCAAACAGAAUACAGAAGCAAAAACACAACAGAAUUAUCACACACACAGAGGUGACGACUGACGGCUGACGACAGUUCUCAAAACAAUGGCGGGUGUUGGUAGGCAGUUUAUUUUGCUGCUAUGGAAAAACUGGCUCCUGCAGAAGAGAAAAGCUUGCGUGACGGUGUUUGAAAUUGUUAUGCCCAUAGUGUUCGCUGUGAUCCUUGUCUGCAUACGUCUAAUAGCGAAGAACGAAACGAUCUCACAGUCAACAAUAUGGCCGCCGUUCAAACCAAAUGACGUAAUGCUUAGGGGAUCCCAAAUCGAAAUCCUUUACUCGCCAAACACGACUGAUAUUCAGACAAUGAUGAACACUUUCCGCAAUUUUUUACCAGGUUUAGAGCCCAAUGGAAGCCAGUGGCAUGUGUACGGAUUUGAUGACGAGGAAGCCCUCUUGGAUUAUCAUCAAAAGAACUACAAAAAAGUUCGAGCGGCAAUUUCCUUUAUGAAAGCAACUCCCAGUUUACCUAAGGAUGUGGAAUACACACUUCGCGUGGCUCGGAAAGAUUUCAACGACAGGUGGCUGACCAAGAAUGUCUACCCUUUCUUCCAACUGACUGGGCCCCGGAACAAUGAUUCAACGGGAGGUAACCCAGACUAUGAAGGAACCGGAUUUUUGGCCUUCCAAUACGCUGUGGACCUAGCGGUCAUAAAACAUUUCAACUCUUCGGCCGCCGUGGACCUUUUUGACCUUUUCCUGAAGAAGAUGCCUUAUCCCCCCUACACCAAGGAUAAUCUGACCACUAUUCUACAAAUGUACCUGCCCUUCUUUCUCAUCCUGGGUUUUAUACUGUCCGCCCUCCAAACCACCAAAGCUAUCGUGUACGAAAAGGAAAAAAAGCUGAAGGAAUCCAUGAAGCUGAUGGGACUGAACUCGUCCAUUUACUGGGCGUCGUGGCUGGUGAAGAGCUCCAUCUAUCUGGUCAUCUCAUCCGCCGUCUACUGCAUCUUAUUCUCCAUUGAGGUCUCCGACAAGGGCAAAGUCCUGGCCAAGACAGACCCCUCGCUCUUCUUUGUCUUCCUGAUCUGUUACUCCAUCUCUAUCAUCUGUUUCUGUUUCAUGGUCAGCACGUUCUUCAACAAAGCUAACUCGGCCGCCUUUGCCAGUGGUAUUGGGUACUUCUGCACGUACGUGCCAUACUUCUUCCUCCAAAGCAGAUACGAGACGAUGGCCAGAUCAGAGAAACUCGGCAUAUGCAUUCUUAACAAUAUGGGAAUGGCAUUUGGCAUAAACACCAUCGGUUUAUACGAAGGAACUGGUUAUGGUGCACAGUGGAAUAACUUUGCCAAACCAGCCACUGUGGACGAUAAUUUCUCGCUGUUGGACUCCAUGCUCAUGUUGCUCGGUUCCAGCGGCGUGUAUUUGGUGAUCACGUGGUAUGUUGAUGGCGUAUUUCCGGGAGAAUAUGGUGUACCGUUACCAUGGUAUUUCCCAUUGUCGAAAAAUUACUGGUGCGGAACGACUCGGAAAUCAUCAGCAAAAAGCGAUACAGGAAAGUUGGAUCCUAAAUACUUUGAGAGAGAUCCGAAUGCCCUGUCUAUAGGCAUCAGCAUAAAUCAUCUCCGAAAGGAAUUUGGAAGUGGAAAAAGGAAGAAAACAGCUGUAGCAGACACAACGCUGAAUAUAUUUGAAGGUCAAAUUACAGCACUUUUAGGUCACAAUGGCGCUGGAAAAACUACAACCAUGUCUAUGCUAACAGGGUUCCUGCCUCCUACAUCUGGCACGGCCGUUGUAAAUGGUUAUGACAUUUCUGAGGACAUACAGAAUGUGAGGAAGAGCCUUGGUCUGUGUCCUCAGCAUAACAUCCUGUUUGACACGUUAACGGUGGAAGAACACUUGCAGUUUUUUGCACAGCUGAAAGGUUGUCCCAAAGACAAUGUUCAGAAAGAGGUGGAUGAAAUGAUCAGAGUUCUAGGUCUGGAAGCCAAGAGGAAAAGUUUUUCUAUGACACUAUCUGGUGGACAAAAGAGAAAGUUGUCUGUUGGGAUAGCACUAAUUGCAGGAUCAAAGGUUGUAAUCUUGGAUGAGCCAACGUCUGGUAUGGAUCCUGCGGCUCGGCGCCAAACUUGGGAAAUUUUGCAGAAAUUCAGGGAGGACCGAACAAUGAUUCUUUCUACUCAUUUCAUGGACGAAGCAGAUCUUCUUGGUGACCGCAUUGCAAUAAUGGCAGAUGGAGUUGUCAAGUGCUGCGGAACAUCUUUAUUUCUGAAGAAGUUAUAUGGAGCCGGGUACCAUCUUGUAAUGGUAAAGGAUCGAGAUUGUGACGUCAAAGCUGUAACGAACGUCAUCAAGCAACACAUACCAGCAGCCGAGCUAGAGAGUGAAAUCAGCGCUGAGUUAUCCUAUCUUCUGCCGUUUGAAGAAUCCAAGAAGUUUGAACAGUUAUUCAAUGAAAUCGAGAAAAGGAAAACAGAGCUAAAAUUGAGCAGUUUUGGAACAUCUGCUACAACUAUGGAAGAAGUUUUUCUGAAGGUAGGCGAAAGUAGCCAAAGAACGGAAGAAGAAGAGGAAAUGCAUGCUCACCAUCAGAAGUCUCUCAAGUCUUACGAUAACAUGGGUUAUGGCAGCAUUACUAACAUUGCAAACGGAGUCAGCAACGGGUCCGCCGAAAAAGGCCAAAAUGGCGUCACUGAAAAAGGCCAAAAUGGCGUCAUUCAAAAUCUAAAGAUUGCUAACGGAGAGUCAUUCAUAGGUUUCAAUUCUGGUUUAAAGAAAAAUUCUGGAACAACAUUGGCCUUGCAACAGUUUUUCAGCAUGUUUGUAAAGAAGCUGAUACACACCUGGAGAAACAGAACAGUGACGCUUGUUCAGCUUCUAGUACCUGUUAUAUUCACCAUUCUUGCCUUGACAGUCGAGAAAACCCUACCAAAACAAGAAGAUGAACCGUCUUUGCUAUUAAACCUAAAGGAUUUCCCCAACAGUGUGGCCAUGUAUUCCUCAAAAUCAGCGUUUCCCGAAAGCACUUCAAUGGCGGCUGACUAUGCGAAUUCUAUAAGAAGUCAAGGAUAUCAAGUUUCUAAAUAUGAUAAAACUCCAAACGACUUUGACAACUUUAUCAUUGAAAAAAACACCGAAAUUGGACAAGCACUCUUUAAACGCAAUUACAUCGUCGGAGGUCUAUUUGAUAUUGGUAACGCCACUACUGGUAGCAUAACGUCAUAUUUCAACGGGGACCCACUCCAUGCCAGUGCAAUAAGUUUAACCAACACAAUGAACGCAUUGCUCAAACAUUACACCGAUAGCACCCACUCCAUCAAAACUACAAAUUUCCCUUUCCCAAGACCGCUGAACGAAUCCAGCCGAGGUAUCGGAUACGCCACAAGAGGCACGGGAUUCACGAUCGCUUUCUGUAUGCUAUUCGGACUGGCCUUCCUGUCAACGAGCUUCAUCAUAUUUUUGAUCAAAGAAAAGGUGACAGGCGCCAAGCACCUUCAGAAGGUGAGCGGUGUCAGCUCGUACGCCUACUGGAUGUCGAACCUUGUCUGGGACUUGUUAAACUACCAGGUACCCAUCCUGUUGAUAAUGGUAUGUUUCGCAGCCUUCCAGACUCAGGCAUACACCGGUGACAACCGCCUUGGACUUGUUUACGCCAUGUUUUUCUUGUACGGAUGGGCCUGCAUGCCUUUCGUGUACAUCUUUUACUAUGUCUUCAAAACGCCUGCUUCCGGAAUGGUUGCCGGAAGUUUACUCAACAUUCUUACUGGUCUUGCAACAAUCAUGGCUGUGUUCACUCUCCGCGUCCCAGACCUUGGCAUAUCAGCUGACAUAUCGGACGCCAUUGAUUGGCUCUUCACUAUAUUUCUUCCUAACUACUGCCUGGGACAGACGCUGAUGAAUAUGUACGUGAACUAUGAGUACAUCGACACAUGUACAAAACUGAACUACGAGACCAUGUGUGCUCUUAAAAAUCCCCCAAUCACAUCAUGUUGUAGAGAUAAAUGUGAAAAGAAUUGUUUGAUUUUCGACACUAACUACCUCGCUUGGGAGACCCCAGGAGUGGGGAAAUACUUCGUUUUCAUGGCGGCACAGGGUGUUUUCUAUAUGACUCUUGUGUUUCUAGUCGAGUUUGGCGUCAUUAGUCGAAUCCGAUAUCUGAUUUGUAAUCGUGAUCCUCCCAUCGUGAAUUCGGCAGAAGUCGGAACAACAAGUGACGCCAUUCCUGACGAUGAUGACGUAGAAGACGAAAGACGUCGCAUCAACAAAACUAGCAUCGAUAGCCUCCUUAAAACAGAUUCUCUGCUUCUACGCAACCUCAGUAAAUCUUAUGGUUCGUACUCCGCUGUGAAAAGUGUGUGUGUUGGAGUUCCGCAGCAAGAGUGUUUCGGACUUUUGGGUCAAAACGGAGCAGGGAAAACUUCGACAUUCAAAAUGUUAACAGGAGACGAAAUAGUGACAGGGGGCAAUGCAUAUCUGAACGGAUAUGACGUCAAAACAGAUCUAAAAAUGGUACAACAAAAUCUAGGAUAUUGCCCCCAGUUUGAUGCGUUGAUUGACCAGAUGACUGGAAGAGAGACCCUUACAAUGUACGCCAGACUCCGGGGAAUAAAGGAAAAUCAAAUCAAGGGGGUUGUCAACGACCUACUAGAGAUCAUGAUGCUCAGGAAAUAUGCUGACAGGCAGUGCGGCACGUACAGUGGUGGUAAUAAACGUAAAUUAAGCACAGCCAUAGCUUUGAUUGGAGACCCGCCUUUUAUACUUCUUGACGAGCCAACCACUGGAAUGGAUCCUGCAGCAAGACGACAGCUCUGGAAUGUUCUCUCACAGGUCCGCGCUAGUGGAAGGACGCUUAUUCUUACAUCUCAUAGCAUGGAAGAAUGUGACGCUCUAUGUACAAAAAUCGUUAUCAUGGUUAACGGAAGGUUUGUUUGCCUGGGAAGUGCCCAACACCUCAAGAACAAAUUCGGACAUGGAUAUACUCUAAUAGCGAGACUUGGGCAAUCGAAAGAUGGAAUCACAGCUUCAUCGGAACCCCUCAAAAACUUCAUAAAAUCCACGUUUCCGGACAGCAUAAUCUUUGACGAUCACCAGGGCUACGUGCAUUUUCAAAUUCCAGACAACAACGUCGCCUUGGGCAGAGUAUUUGGUGAAAUGGAGCGCGCGAAAUCUCAGUUUAACAUUGAAGACUACUCAGUUCACCAAACAACUCUAGAACAAGUAUUCUUGAGCUUUACCAGACACCAGGAAGCACAAAGCGUGCAAGAGGAGAAAAAGAAAUGUUGUUGUUGUUUUUUUUGUUGUUAAGGUUAUUGGUUUUAUUGCAU
rnacentral:sRNA from 1 species